CAGGGACCCGGCGGCGGCGGCGGCGGCGGCGGCAGCAGCCGGCAGUGCGGGGGGGCCAGCUGCGGGCUGCAGCCGCUGCAGGCGGAGAGCAUGUCCAAGCCGGUGGACCACGUCAAGCGGCCCAUGAACGCCUUCAUGGUGUGGUCCCGGGCCCAGCGACGCAAAAUGGCCCAGGAGAACCCCAAGAUGCACAACUCGGAGAUCAGCAAGCGACUGGGGGCCGAGUGGAAAUUGCUCACUGAGUCGGAGAAGCGACCCUUCAUAGAUGAGGCGAAGCGCCUGCGGGCCAUGCACAUGAAGGAGCAUCCUGACUACAAGUACAGACCGCGCAGGAAGCCGAAGACCCUGCUCAAGAAGGACAAGUUCGCCUUCCCCGUGCCCUACGGCCUGGGUGGCGUGGGGGACCCUGAGCACCACGGACUGAAGGCGGGGGGCGGGCUGCACGGGGCCGCCGGGGGCGGGCUGGUGCCCGAGUCGCUGCUCGCCAACCCGGAGAAAGCUGCGGCCGCCGCUGCCGCCGCAGCCGCGCGCGUUUUCUUUCCGCAGUCUGCAGCUGCGGCCGCCGCCGCCGCUGCUGCCGCGGCCAGCAGCCCCUACUCUCUGCUGGACCUGGGCUCUAAAAUGGCAGAGAUCUCCUCGUCCUCCUCGGGGCUCCCCUACGCGUCCUCGCUGGGCUACCCGACGGCCGGGGCCGGUGCCUUCCACGGGGCUGCCGCCGCAGCUGCAGCCGCUGCCGCCGCCGCCGGGGGGCACACGCACUCGCACCCCAGCCCCGGCAACCCGAGCUACAUGAUACCGUGCAACUGCAGCGCCUGGCCGAGCCCGGGACUCCAGCCGCCCCUUGCCUAUAUCCUGUUGCCUGGCAUGGGCAAACCUCAGCUAGACCCUUACCCUGCAGCCUACGCCGCAGCGUUAUGACCCAGCGCGGGGUGCAGCAGCAGCAGCAGCUACAACCGUGUGUAAAUAUCUGUACAAAUAGGGGGUGGCUUUAAUAAUGAGGUCUCAGCUAUACAGCCGCGCAUGUACAUAUGUAUAGGUAAAUGAACAUCAGUCUUGAGAUGGAUUGUCCAGAUUUUGAGAUGAACUUCUGAGUUUGAGAAGUCUGGAGGUCCUAGGUCCAUCUGAUGGACCUGAAUGAUGACAAGAGGAAGAGUCCCCUAUGUCCACUCCAGUCCUCUUGAAGCAGAUGACCACCAACAAGAGGAUGAGUUCAAACCUUCAUCCAUCUUGUCAGAAGAUACCUACUAUGAGGAGUACAGUGCAGAGCCAAGAUGAAAUGUGAGAUAGAUGCUUUUGAGUCCUGUUUUAUAUUUGAUGUUUCUUUUAUGUGUAGGAAAUAAAUGAUUCAUAUUGUG